rnacentral:rRNA from 1 species
UGGGGAAUAUUGCACAAUGGGCGCAAGCCUGAUGCAGCCAUGCCGCGUGUGUGAAGAAGGCCUUCGGGUUGUAAAGCACUUUCAGCGGGGAGGAAGGCGAUAAGGUUAAUAACCUUGUCGAUUGACGUUACCCGCAGAAGAAGCACCGGCUAACUCCGUGCCAGCAGCCGCGGUAAUACGGAGGGUGCAAGCGUUAAUCGGAAUUACUGGGCGUAAAGCGCACGCAGGCGGUCUGUCAAGUCGGAUGUGAAAUCCCCGGGCUCAACCUGGGAACUGCAUUCGGAACUGGCAGGCUAGAGUCUUGUAGAGGGGGGUAGAAUUCCAGGUGUAGCGGUGAAAUGCGUAGGGAUCUGGAGGAAUACCGGUGGCGAAGGCGGCCCCCUGGACAAAGACUAACGCUCAGGUGCGAAAGCGUGGGGAGCAAACAGG